AUGGUGUUGCUUCUCGAGGCGUCCACGACCAGAGUGUCAUCUGCAACACAGGUCAUCUUUGAUGAUUAUCGGGAGGCUUACUUUUGGCUUUACCAGAAAUCUCCACCAGAAGCCAAGGUGAUGUCAUGGUUGGAUUAUGGUUAUCAAACCACUUCCAUUGGAAAUAGAACAAUUACUGUUGACAGUAACACAGAGAACAAUACACACAUAACAAUUGUUAGACAUGCAAUGUCAUCUUAG